rnacentral:rRNA from 1 species
UACGUAGGGGGCAAGCGUUGUCCGGAAUCAUUGGGCGUAAAGAGCGUGUAGGCGGCCCGAUUAGUCCGCUGUGAAAGUCCAGGGCUCAACCCUGGAAUGCCGGUGGAUACUGUCGGGCUAGAGUCCGGAAGGGGCGAGUGGAAUUCCUGGUGUAGCGGUGAAAUGCGCAGAUAUCAGGAGGAACACCAAUGGCGAAGGCAGCUCGCUGGGACGGUACUGACGCUGAGACGCGAAAGCGUGGGGAGCAAACAGG